rnacentral:rRNA from 1 species
CAGUAGCCGCGGGAUUACAGAGGGUGCGAGCGUUAAUCGGAUUUACUGGGCGUAAAGCGUGCGUAGGCGGCUUUUUAAGUCGGAUGUGAAAUCCCUGAGCUUAACUUAGGAAUUGCAUUCGAUACUGGGAAGCUAGAGUAUGGGAGAGGAUGGUAGAAUUCCAGGUGUAGCGGUGAAAUGCGUAGAGAUCUGGAGGAAUACCGAUGGCGAAGGCAGCCAUCUGGCCUAAUACUGACGCUGAGGUACGAAAGCAUGGGGAGCAAACAGGAUUAGAUACCCCCGUAGUCCCUGUCUCUUAUAC